rnacentral:rRNA from 1 species
UACGUAGGGGGCGAGCGUUUGUCCGGAUUUAUUGGGCGUAAAGAGCUCGUAGGCGGUUUGGUAAGUUGGAUGUGAAAUCUCCAGGCUCAACUUGGAGGGGUCAUUCGAUACUGCCAUGACUAGAGUUCGGUAGGGGAGUGUGGAAUUCCUGGUGGAGCGGUGAAAUGCGCAGAUAUCAGGAGGAACACCAAUUGCGAAGGCAGCUCGCUGGGACGUAACUGACGCUGAGACGCGAAAGCGUGGGGAGCAAACAGG